rnacentral:rRNA from 1 species
AGCGGCGGACGGGUGAGUAACACGUGGGUAACCUGCCCAAGAGACUGGGAUAACACCUGGAAACAGAUGCUAAUACCGGAUAACAACACUAGACGCAUGUCUAGAGCUUGAAAGAUGGUUCUGCUAUCACUCUUGGAUGGACCUGCGGUGCAUUAGCUAGUUGGUAAGGUAACGGCUUACCAAGGCAAUGAUGCAUAGCCGAGUUGAGAGACUGAUCGGCCACAUUGGGACUGAGACACGGCCCAAACUCCUACGGGAGGCAGCAGUAGGGAAUCUUCCACAAUGGACGAAAAUCUGAUGGAGCAACGCCGCGUGAGUGAAGAAGGGUUUCGGCUCGUAAAGCUCUGUUGGUAGUGAAGAAAGAUAGAGGUAGUAACUGGCCUUUAUUUGACGGUAAUUACUUAGAAAGUCACGGCUAACUACGUGCCAGCAGCCGCGGUAAUACGUAGGUGGCAGGCGUUGUCCGGAUUUAUUGGGCGUAAAGCGAGUGCAGGCGGUUCAAUAAGUCUGAUGUGAAAGCCUUCGGCUCAACCGGAGAAUUGCAUCAGAAACUGUUGAACUUGAGUGCAGAAGAGGAGAGUGGAACUCCAUGUGUAGCGGUGGAAUGCGUAGAUAUAUGGAAGAACACCAGUGGCGAAGGCGGCUCUCUGGUCUGCAACUGACGCUGAGGCUCGAAAGCAUGGGUAGCGAACAGGAUUAGAUACCCUGGUAGUCCAUGCCGUAAACGAUGAGUGCUAAGUGU